rnacentral:rRNA from 1 species
GACGAACGCUGGCGGCGUGCUUAACACAUGCAAGUCGAACGGAAAGGCCCUGCUUUUGUGGGGUGCUCGAGUGGCGAACGGGUGAGUAACACGUGAGUAACCUGCCCUUGACUUUGGGAUAACUUCAGGAAACUGGGGCUAAUACCGGAUAGGAGCUCCUGCUGCAUGGUGGGGGUUGGAAAGUUUCGGCGGUUGGGGAUGGACUCGCGGCUUAUCAGCUUGUUGGUGGGGUAGUGGCUUACCAAGGCUUUGACGGGUAGCCGGCCUGAGAGGGUGGCCGGCGACAUUGGGACUGCGAUACGGCCCAGACUCCUACGGGAGGCAGCAGUGGGGAAUAUUGCACAGUGGGAGGAAGCCUGAUGCAGCAACGCCGCGGGCGGGAUGACGGCCUUCGGGUUGUAAACCGCUUUCGCCUGUGACGAAGCGGGAGUGACGGUAAUGGGUAAAGAAGCACCGGCUAACUACGUG